rnacentral:lncRNA from 1 species
AAAUUACCCAUUUUGAACAUAGGCUAUGUCCUUUCUUCCGCUUUCGUGUUGCUGGUAGGUCGCAUGAAAUUUUUGAAAAACAAAUCCAUUUGAAUCACUUUAACUUUUUGUCAUCUUCUGUUAAUUUGUUAUUCUACAGUUGUAUUUUCAUCUCUUUCAGAUAAUAUAGCAAGAUGAGAGCAAAGGUAAGCAUGCAACUUAAUAUUUUUUAUCGAAUUAGUCUUGCACAUAAACAUGUCGGAUAACACGCAUUUACGUCCGACCAUUGAUGUAUGUUGUUUGUUACGGGGAGAAAGUUAAUUUGUGACACUUAGUGAAUUGCAACAUACUGCAAAUUAGAGUUCUAAUGAUGUGUGGCAAAACUGUUCGUGAUGUAUAAAUUUGAAUUUGAGGUCCUUGAACGUAAAACUUGGACCAUGUGGACUGCUGGUGCAGCAUGCGAAGCCGAAGUCCGUGGGUGUCUGUCAACACAUCUCCCGUCUUGUAGUAAUCAAUUGUUCAGUAAUAUCUAAUAUAUUUAUUAUUCAUAUUUACAAUGCGUGUGCUUAAAUUGAAUACUAAGAUAGCCUAGCAAUUCCAGAAAUUACCCCCUCCCCCAAAAAUUUUCAAUGGAAGCCAUAUAAUUUACAAAGUUGAAUUGUUUCACAUGUUUCAAAAGUAACUGGAUUCCCACCUUAUUGCUGAACCAAUUUUGAGUCGGGCAAGUACCAAAAAACUUCCCAAACCCAGUAUCUUUCAUAUUGGCUGCGGAACCUUACAUAUACUGUAGGCUGUAGCUCAUGGACAUGGGUCUGAAUGUUAUAUUUUUACUAUUAGAGCUACAGAUUUUUCCUGUUCGAAACGUUUGGAAUUGCACUUAUUUUCCAAAAUUGUAUUGUUAAUCCAUGCCAAUGAGACAACUCUCCACAAAAGACCAAAAUGAUGUAGCAAUUAUUAACUAUGGGUCACCCUAUGGCUUUCAACAAUAUAGUUUGUUUCGUUUGAUAUUUUUUCUAGGAUAUGACGUACCUAUGUAUGUUAAGAGUAUUUAUUUCCUUAACAUUAUCUUUUUUACAUUUGUAAACCUCCGCCGAUUUUGUUCAGCCACAUUGAAUCUCGUUAUGACGUCAUUUAUUUGUUGAGUGGUAAAAUUUUAUAUCAAGUUUACAUUGGACUUCUCUUUUUCAGUGGCGUAAGAAGCGUAUGAGGAGGUUGAAGCGUAAAAGGAGGAAGAUGAGGGCAAGGUAAUUAUAUUAGCUUGUAUAAGUAGUGAUUUAAUUUGGUCCUGCUGAAAAAGGUUAUAAAUAAGAACUUGAGAAGCUGUCAAUAUUUCAGGUUGGAGCCUAUUUCUAUAAUUUUGUUAUAAUUAUACCCCCGCUUUGAAAAAAAAGGGGGUAUGCUGUUUUACCUCUGUCCGUCCGUCCGUCCCAUGAAUAUUUUUCGUCACAUUUUUCUCAGGAACUACAAUACAAGGAUUUCUGAAAUUUGGUGUAAGGGUUAAUAUAAGUCAGCUAUACCGUGUGAGAUGCGUUUUCAGAUUCAUCACUCGACAACUUCCUGUUUACCGAACACUUGCAUAUUUUUACACAAUUAAUAUUAUCCACUUGCGGCGGGGGUAUCAUCAGUGAGCAGUAGCUCGCAGUUUCACUGAAAUUAGGCUCCUGACUUUGGACAGGCACUUGCAGAAUAAGGCAGGUUUAAACAUGCUCCCAAUCAUGUGACAAGUGGUUCAUCAGAAUAGUACAAGACAUUCCUGAAAAAAUCUCAAAUGAAAACAUCAUUUUGCCUGUUCCAACCCCCAAGUUUCUUGAUUUGUAGUCUUAGACCUUUAAAGUAAUUGAAAUGAAGACUGAACAUGAUUAAAUUUUGUUUAACUGUACAAUAAUUGUGAUUGAAAAUAUGAAACAAUAUUAUACUCCACUCAAUUGCAUUCUGUUUUGUCAUUGAAGGCAAGAUAUCCAUAAGUAUUAACGUUAUUAGGGUGAAUGGUUUAUCAACUACAUUUGUUUACUUUCAGGUCUAAGUAGACGUUGCCAUCGUUUAUUUUUAAGACUCCAAUUGAUGUGUUCAGCUAUAGACCAAGGUAUUGCAACCAUGUGUUCAGUUGAGAACUCCUAUUGAUGAUGAUGAAGAUGAUGAAAAUGAUGAUGAUGAAUUAGCGUGGUCACGUGAUCAAAGUCUUAGUUUGACCAGGUACCAUGCUUUCGACUGAAAACAUGGCUGUUUUAACAACAAUAUGUUGUCAUGGUGAACCAACACGACUUACAACAACAGCAACACAAAGCAACAACAACAUUUUGUCAUCGAGGGCUCAACUUUGGGAACUAUCUUUACAAGAAGAAAGAGGAAGAAGAAUUGGUGUCUACUGCGUGGAAGUCUCCAUGGUGACCAGGCUAGGCAUCUGUAUGGUAACCACUGUUGAGGCUUUGGUGGCUCCUCUAUGAGAACAUAUUUUGUAAUAUCUUAGACUUGGCAAUGAUCCAAUUUAUCCAAAGACAUGAAAUUGCAUGGAUUGAAUUGUUCAGUUGAGGUUUUGAAAAUAUUAAAAGAAAAAAAUCAAAAUUUGUAUUUUUAGUCUGAUGGUUGUUCGAGUGCUAUCACUUGGCAUUGGUUGUUGUAAAAUCUCUGAAACUCCUGCAUCAAUGGCAUCCAUUAUACGGCUGAAUUAUUCUUUGAAAGUUCAUGAAAUUAGCCAUGUCGUCUGGU